rnacentral:rRNA from 1 species
UACGUAGGGGGCUAGCGUUGUCCGGAAUCAUUGGGCGUAAAGCGCGUGUAGGCGGCCCGGUAAGUCCGCUGUGAAAGUCGGGGGCUCAACCCUCGGAAGCCGGUGGAUACUGUCGGGCUCGAGUACGGAAGAGGCGAGUGGAAUUCCUGGUGUAGCGGUGAAAUGCGCAGAUAUCAGGAGGAACACCGGUGGCGAAAGCGGCUCACUGGCCGGAAUCUGACACUGAGGUGCGAAAGCGUGGGGAGCAAACAGG